rnacentral:tRNA from 1 species
UCCGCGGCUGGCUGACGGUGGUAGCCGGCCGGCUGUGCCUCGACCAGGUCCGUUCGGCCCGGGCCCGCCGUG